rnacentral:rRNA from 1 species
AGAAUCAACGCUGGCGGCGUGCCUAACACAUGCAAGUCGAACGAGAAAGUGGAGCAAUCCAUGAGUAAAGUGGCGCACGGGUGAGUAACACGUGACUAACCUACCCUUGAGUGGGGGAUAACCUAGAGAAAUCUGGGCUAAUACCGCAUAAUACCUUCGGGUCAAAGGAGCAAUUCGCUUAAGGAGGGGGUCGCGGCCGAUUAGUUAGUUGGCGGGGUAAUGGCCCACCAAGACUAUGAUCGGUAUCCGGCCUGAGAGGGCGCACGGACACACUGGAACUGAAACACGGUCCAGACUCCUACGGGAGGCAGCAGUGGGGAAUUUGCGCAAUGGGGGAAACCCUGACGCAGCAACGCCGCGUGGAGGAUGAAGUCCCUUGGGACGUAAACUCCUUUCGAUCGGGACGAUAAUGACGGUACCGAGAGAAGAAGCCCCGGCUAACUUCGCGCCAGCAGCCGC